rnacentral:rRNA from 1 species
AUUGAACGCUGGCGGCAGGCCUAACACAUGCAAGUCGAACGAGUGGCGGACGGGUGAGUAAUGUCUGGGAAACUGCCCGAUGGAGGGGGAUAACUAAUGGAAACGGUAGAUAAUACCGCAUACCAUCGGAUGAGCCCAGAUGGGAUUAGCUAGUAGUGGGGGUAACGGCUCACCUAGGCGACGAUCCCUAGCUGGUCUGAGAGGACGACCAUCCACACUGGGACUGAGACACGGCCCAGACUCCUACGGGAGGAAGCAGUGGGGAAUUUUGUGCAAUGGGGGCAACCCUGCUCCAGCCAUGCCGCGUGCAGGAUGAAGGUUUUCGGAUUGUAAACUGCUUUUGUCAGGGAAGCGGUACCUGAAGAAUAAGCACCGGCUAACUACGUGCCAGCAGCCGCGGUAAUAC